rnacentral:rRNA from 1 species
UACGUAGGUGACAAGCGUUGUCCGGAUUUACUGGGCGUAAAGAGCGCGCAGGCGGUCGUUCAAGUCGAGUGUGAAAGCCCCCGGCUCCAACUGGGGAGGGUCACUCGAUACUGAUCGACUCGAAGGCAGGAGAGGGUAGUGGAAUUCCCGGUGUAGUGGUGAAAUGCGUAGAUAUCGGGAGGAACACCAGUGGCGAAGGCGACUACCUGGCCUGUUCUGACGCUGAGGCGCGAAAGCUAGGGGAGCAAACGGG